rnacentral:lncRNA from 1 species
AGUAAUACAGGCAAAGAGUAAUACAGACAGGGAAGAGUAAUACAGACAGGGAAUAGUAAUACAGGCGAAGAGUAAUACAGACGGGGAAGAGUAAUACAGACGGGGAAGAGUAAUACAGACAGGCGAAGAGUAAUACAGACAGGCGAAGUGUAAUACAGACAGGCAAAGAGUAGUACAGACAGGGAAGAGUAAUACAGAGAGGCGAAGAGUAAUACAGACAGGGAAGAGUAAUACAGACAGGCGAAGAGUAAUACAGACAGGGAAGAGUAAUACAGGGGAAGAGUAAUACAGACAGGGGAAG